CCUACGGGAGGCAGCAGUAAGGAAUAUUGGACAAUGGUCGGAAGACUGAUCCAGCCAUGCCGCGUGCAGGAACAAGGCGCUCAGCGUUGUAAACUGCUUUUGGGCGGGAAUAACAUCCUSCAGGAUGCAGGKACUGACACUACACAUCUAAUAAGCAUCGGCUAACUCCGUGCCAGCAGCCGCG
rnacentral:rRNA from 1 species